rnacentral:rRNA from 1 species
GACGAACGCUGGCGGCGUGCUUAACACAUGCAAGUCGAACGGAAAGGCCCUGCUUUUGUGGGGUGCUCGAGUGGCGAACGGGUGAGUAACACGUGAGUAACCUGCCCUUGACUUUGGGAUAACUUCAGGAAACUGGGGCUAAUACCGGAUAGGAGCUCCUGCUGCAUGGUGGGGGUUGGAAAGUUUCGGUGGUUGGGGAUGGACGCGCGGCUUAUCAGCUUGUUGGUGGGGUAGUGGCUUACCAAGGCUUUGACGGGUAGCCGGCCUGAGAGGGUGACCGGCCACAUUGGGACUGAGAUACGGCCCAGACUCCUACGGGAGGCAGCAGUGGGGAAUAUAGCACAAUGGGCGGAAGCCUGAUGCAGCAACGCCGCGUGCGGGAUGACGGCCUUCGGUUUGUAAACCGCUUUCGCCUGUGACGAAGCGUGAGUGACGGUAAUGGGUAAAGAAGCACCGGCUAACUACGUG